rnacentral:rRNA from 1 species
UACGUAGGUGGCAAGCGUUGUCCGGAAUUAUUGGGCGUAAAGCGCGCGCAGGCGGUCCUUUAAGUCUGAUGUGAAAGCCCACGGCUCAACCGUGGAGGGUCAUUGGAAACUGGGGGACUUGAGUACAGAAGAGGAAAGCGGAAUUCCACGUGUAGCGGUGAAAUGCGUAGAGAUGUGGAGGAACACCAGUGGCGAAGGCGGCUUUCUGGGCAGUAACUGACGCUGAGGAGCGAAAGCGUGGGGAGCGAACAGG